UACGGGGGAGAGCAAGCGUUGUUCGGAUUUACUGGGCGUAAAGGGCGCGUAGGCGGCCACCGCAAGUCGGUUGUGAAAGUCUCCCGGGGCUUAACCCGGAAAGGUUCAACCGAUACUGCGGGGCUAGGAGUGCAGAAGGGGCAACUGGAAUUCUACGGUGUAGCGGUGAAAUGCGUAGAUAUCGAGAGGAACACCUGCGGCGAAGGCGGGUUGCUGGGCUGACACAUGACGCUGGAUGCGCGAAAGCCUAGGGGAGCGAACGGG
rnacentral:rRNA from 1 species